GUUGAAAUUAUUAGCAUGUGUAUGGUAAGUUAAAUCUUUGUGUACGAAACAAAUUGAUUUUCAAUUUUGUAGAUGUCACACCUCAUUAGAACCCAAAGGGCGAUGACUUCUACACCUAGUCUGACAGCUACACCUAGUCCGACGACUACACCUACUAUUGCCACCACUGCUCCGGCAGAGAUGGACCAUAGGCCGGCCAAUCCGGUUGACCCAGUUGGUCCUCCAGUCCCACAGGCGCAGGCAUCGUCGACUUCUUCAGUGGUGUUGCCUGUUAGCGCUCGAUUUACUCACCGGUACCCCCGCACUACGAACCAGACGUCACCAUUGGGAUCCAUAAUCGAUGCCUCGGGUACACGGCCAACGAAGAAAAACACCUGGGGACCUUGUCGGCAAUUGAAGACGGCAAAGGUCACCUGGGUGACCAACGGUCGUAUCCCAAUCGAAUACGAUGAGCGACAUCGAGCAACACCAAUAGCAGAGUAACAUAGUGCAUUGGCCCACAACAUUGUGCAUGUCGUGCGGACCUUUGCCCUAUGCGGUGGAAGUCUUGGAAGGCGAUGCCGGAGGAGACGAAGAACACGGUGCGCAACCAAUUGUCCAUAAGUAGCAUCGCCUUUUUAAUACUUUUCAUGUAAAAGUUAUAUAUUUAUAUUUAUUACUGUCUUUUAUUACUAAUACUUUCAAAAUAUUUGUUAUAUUGCAAACAAACUACAAUUUGGAGGACAUGGACGAGGACAUGUUCGUGUACCUCAAUCGACUCUUCUCUGAACGCUACAAGCAAUGGAAAAGUGACAUGUUCCAAUGUUUCCAUCAGUUUUGAUGAUCCAUAGGUUGCUCUCGAUGAGGGUUAUCCGAAGGAGUUAGAGGAUCGACAACAUAGUUAGGUUUGGUUUUGCGGUCAUUUUCAAGAGCCGGAAGAAGACGAAGGCGAACAAUAUCAAUCAGGAGAAGAAGACUUUUCUCCACCAUUUGGGUUCAAGGCCUUUCUCCUAUAGGAUGGAGGCGUGAUGGAAGGAGGGUUCAAAAUUUUCAGAGAUCGACGUCUUUGCUGACGUUUAUGUUCGGCCUGGGGAUGAGUUGAUCGAGUCCUUUCAUGUAACUAUGGUGGAGAAAAGUCAGUCGGUGCUUCAGGAGUCCGUCUCCUAGCUUCCCUCAGAUCGCCGAUCGAGUCUGUGGAUCCCCUUGAGGAUGCAGGGUUUCACAUCGUGACAGAGACCUUGGACCAAACUUUUGGUCAGAGGCCAGAGACUUAUUGUCAUGGGAUGGGAAAUACCAGGCAACGAGAGAUUAAAGCAUCAUCAUCCUCGCAGUCAAAGGCCCAAGUUACGGCUUUGACGCAGAAAGUCGCUGGCUUGAAGAGUGAGCUGGCAUCGUACAAGUCUCAAAUGUCGAUGCUUGUACAAGCCCUCAGUUCCUCUAGAAUACAUCUCCCCGGUUUUUCUGCACCAUCAUAGCCCUUCCACACCAAGCAAGCUCAGCAAUCAGGCCCAUUGACCUCCAACCCCAUCCCCAACCCGCAGCAAGAUUACCAAGCACCUUCGAACAACAUGCCUAUAGAUUUUUCCGCUUUUUUUCAUAGUUUUGUUCCUGCUUUCUUUUAAAACUUUAUA